rnacentral:rRNA from 1 species
UUGGACGCUGGCGGAAUGCUUUACACAUGCAAGUCGAACGGUAGAGGGGGCAACCCCUUGAGAGUGGCGAACGGGUGAGUAAUAUAUCGGAACGUGCCCAGUCGUGGGGGAUAACGUAGCGAAAGUUACGCUAAUACCGCAUACGAUCUAAGGAUGAAAGCGGGGGAUCGCAAGACCUCGCGCGACUGGAGCGGCCGAUAUCAGAUUAGGUAGUUGGUAGGGUAAAGGCCUACCAAGCCAACGAUCUGUAGCUGGUCUGAGAGGACGACCAGCCACACUGGAACUGAGACACGGUCCAGACUCCUACGGGAGGCAGCAGUGGGGAAUUUUGGACAAUGGGCGAAAGCCUGAUCCAGCCAUUCCGCGUGCAGGAUGAAGGCCCUCGGGUUGUAAACUGCUUUUGUACAGAACGAAAAGGUUUCUAUUAAUACUAGGAGCUCAUGACGGUACUGUAAGAAUAAGCACCGGCUAACUACGUG